GGGUUGUGAGGUUAAGCGACUAAGCGUACACGGUGGAUGCCCUGGCAGUCAGAGGCGAUGAAGGGCGUGCUAAUCUGCGAUAAGCGCCGGUAAGGUGAUAUGAACCGUUAUAACCGGCGAUACCCGAAUGGGGAAACCCAGUGUGAUUCGUCACACUAUCAUUAACUGAAUCCAUAGGUUAAUGAGGCGAACCGGGGGAACUGAAACAUCUAAGUACCCCGAGGAAAAGAAAUCAACCGAGAUUCCCCCAGUAGCGGCGAGCGAACGGGGAGGAGCCCAGAGCCUGAAUCAGCAUGUGUGUUAGUGGAAGCGUCUGGAAAGGCGCGCGAUACAGGGUGACAGCCCCGUACACAAAAGCGCAUGUGCUGUGAGCUCGAUGAGUAGGGCGGGACACGUGGUAUCCUGUCUGAAUAUGGGGGGACCAUCCUCCAAGGCUAAAUACUCCUGACUGACCGAUAGUGAACCAGUACCGUGAGGGAAAGGCGAAAAGAACCCCGGCGAGGGGAGUGAAAAAGAACCUGAAACCGUGUACGUACAAGCAGUGGGAGCACCCUUUGGGGUGUGACUGCGUACCUUUUGUAUAAUGGGUCAGCGACUUAUAUUCUGUAGCAAGGUUAACCGAAUAGGGGAGCCGGAGGGAAACCGAGUCUUAAUUGGGCGUUAAGUUGCAGGGUAUAGACCCGAAACCCGGUGAUCUAGCCAUGGGCAGGUUGAAGGUUGGGUAACACUAACUGGAGGACCGAACCGACUAAUGUUGAAAAAUUAGCGGAUGACCUGUGGCUGGGGGUGAAAGGCCAAUCAAACCGGGAGAUAGCUGGUUCUCCCCGAAAGCUAUUUAGGUAGCGCCUCGUGAAUUCAUCUCCGGGGGUAGAGCACUGUUUCGGCUAGGGGGCCAUCCCGGCUUACCAACCCGAUGCAAACUGCGAAUACCGGAGAAUGUUAUCACGGGAGACACACGGCGGGUGCUAACGUCCGUCGUGAAGAGGGAAACAACCCAGACCGCCAGCUAAGGUCCCAAAGUCAUGGUUAAGUGGGAAACGAUGUGGGAAGGCCCAGACAGCCAGGAUGUUGGCUUAGAAGCAGCCAUCAUUUAAAGAAAGCGUAAUAGCUCACUGGUCGAGUCGGCCUGCGCGGAAGAUGUAACGGGGCUAAACCAU
rnacentral:rRNA from 1 species